rnacentral:rRNA from 1 species
CCCUUGGCUUAACCAAGGAAGGGCAUUUGAAACUGCUGGGCUUGAGUACGGGAGGGGGAAGCGGAAUUCCCGGUGUAGAGGUGAAAUUCGUAGAUAUCGGGAGGAACACCGGUGGCGAAGGCGGCUUUCUGGACCGAUACUGACGCUGAGACGCGAAAGCGUGGGGAGCAAACAGGAUUAGAUACCCUGGUAGUCCACGCGGUAAACGUUGGGCACUAGGUGUUGUGGGUAUUGACCCCUGCAGUGCCAAGGGCGAAUUCCACAGUGGAUA